GAUGAGAUGCCUGAUUUAAGGACUAUUUUGAUAGAAUAGAAUAUGUAUUUUUACUCUUAUUU
rnacentral:tRNA from 1 species